GUACCAUUACAACAACAGACAAGGUACACAAGGUUCACACAAGCCUAAAUGUUUUGAGAGCUGGCUUCCCUGUCUCCAUAGACAGGCCCUAUGUUGGUGUCAGUUGUGACUCAGAUGUGUCCUGUGAGUGCUGUGGGAGAGGAAUAGUGGAGGCAAAGUGUCCCUUGAAGUGGGUUGAUGUUUCUGUAGAUCGUUGGCCCACAGACAAGACUGGCCAUCUGGACACUUUUUUGACAUUGAGGAAGAACCACAGCUAUUAUACACAGAAUCAGCUGCAGCUGCAUGUUUGCAGAACACAGUAUGCAGACUUCAUAACCCGGACCCCAAAGCAUACUGUAAUUUUCAGAGUCUGUUGUGAUGAAAACUUCAUCAAUGAGGCUGUGGACGCUAUAACUGGGUCAGGCACAUCCACCCUCAGCUGGUGGGUGCCUCAGCUCAGGUUCCAGAAUCAGAGCUACAGGAGAAUGAGUUGGAGCCAUGAGACAGUGCUAGGUGGAAAACAGUGCAGUAAGGGACUUCACAAACAGAAUAGGAAGUGGCCCAUCCAGGAUGUGGAAUCUGAGCUUCAGGACACCAAUCACAUGUUCUGUAAAACACCAAUACAUCUUUUGAAAAUAUUGUUCAGCAUAAAAAUGCAGAUAAUUGUACCCCUGUUCUCAGUAUUUGUUAAAUCAGUAUUUUUUAAAUCACUGUUAUACAAAUGCCUAAA